rnacentral:rRNA from 1 species
UACGUAGGGACCAAGCGUUGUUCGGAUUUACUGGGCGUAAAGGGCGCGUAGGCGGCUUGACAAGUCACUUGUGAAAUCUCCGGGCUUAACUCGGAACGGCCAAGUGAAACUGUCAUGCUAGAGUGCAGAAGGGGCAAUCGGAAUUCUUGGUGUAGCGGUGAAAUGCGUAGAUAUCAAGAGGAACACCUGAGGUGAAGAUGGGUUGCUGGGCUGACACUGACGCUGAGGCGCGAAAGCCAGGGGAGCAAACGGG